rnacentral:rRNA from 1 species
CAAUAGCGUAUAUUAAAGUUGUUGCAGUUAAAAAGCUCGUAGUUGGAUUUCUGGUGGGAGCGAUCGGUCUGGCGCUUAGCGCGAGUACUUGCAUCGUCUCCGGCCAUCCUUGGGGAGAGUCUGUCUGGCAUUAAGUUGUCGGGCAGAGGAUCCUCAUCGUUUACUGUGAAAAAAUUAGAGUGUUCAAAGCAGGCUUAUGCCGUUGAAUAUAUUAGCAUGGAAUAAUAAGAUAGGACUUUGGUACUAUUUUGUUGGUUUGCGCACCAAAGUAAUGAUUAAUAGGGACAGUUGGGGGUAUUCGUAUUCUAUUGCUAGAGGUGAAAUUCUUAAAUUUAUGGAAGACGAACUACUGCGAAAGCAUUUACCAAGGAUGUUUUCAUUAA